AUUGAACGCUGGCGGCAGGCUUAACACAUGCAAGUCGAGCGGGCGAGGUUGCUUCGGUAACUGAGCUAGCGGCGGACGGGUGAGUAAUGCUUAGGAAUCUGCCUAUUAGUGGGGGACAACAUUCCGAAAGGGAUGCUAAUACCGCAUACGUCCUACGGGAGAAAGCAGGGGAUCAUUUGACCUUGCGCUAAUAGAUGAGCCUAAGUCGGAUUAGCUAGUUGGUGGGGUAAAGGCCUACCAAGGCGACGAUCUGUAGCGGGUCUGAGAGGAUGAUCCGCCACACUGGGACUGAGACACGGCCCAGACUCCUACGGGAGGCAGCAGUGGGGAAUAUUGGACAAUGGGGGGAACCCUGAUCCAGCCAUGCCGCGUGUGUGAAGAAGGCCUUUUGGUUGUAAAGCACUUUAAGCGAGGAGGAGGCUCUCUUGGUUAAUACCUGAGGAGAGUGGACGUUGCUCGCAGAAUAAGCACCGGCUAACUCUGUGCCAGCCGCCGCGGUAAUAC
rnacentral:rRNA from 1 species